AUAUUUUCUUAUAAAUUACUAUUAUUUUUAUUUUGUAAAUUACUUUUAUUCCAUCAAGCCCGCCAUUCCUAACUAUCGGAACACUAUAAAUACCACUUCCUCCGCUCACUAAACCCUUAACAUCCAAAAACCCCUCUCUACCAAGCUCCAAGCAUACGGUUCUGCUCUUCCAACUGUGCUGCGUUCAACGGUUGAGGUACAUUUUCGUUACCCUUCUUUCUGUGUUCAACGGUUUGGGUAUUGCCUUUGAAGUGUUCUUUCUUGUUUCUGAUUCAAUUCUCCAAAUCUAGAAUGUAUGAUUACUCAGUUUUAUUGUUCUUGCUCUGUGAAUCUAUGUGCUCUUUAUCGUUUCUGAUUCAAUUCUCCAAAUCUAGAAUGUAUGAUUACUCAGUUUUAUUGUUCUUGCUCUGUGAAUCUAUGUGCUGGUUCAACAGUUUGGGUACAUUUUGGUUGCCUUUGAAUUGUACUUUCUUGUUUCUGAUUCAAUUGUUUACUGUUCUUGAUCAAUUGUAAUGGUAAGAAUCUAUCUGCAGUGCUGGGUUCCACUGUGUACGAGUAACAUUUUCAUUCUCUUCCCAAUCGUUCUUUCCACUGUUUUUUGUUCAAUUCAGAACUCAGUUUUUUCAAUUUAGGAUUGUUAUAUUGUUAUCACUCAAUUGUUCCUUUGUUAUCUUUGUUUCGUUUUGGUUUUGUAAGCGUAUAGAGUCAUUAUUAGCAGACUUGCCAGCAUGCUUGUUUCUGCCAAUUCCACAAUGGAGUCUCUUAGAACACAACUUGAUGAGGUAAAUCAGUUAAGGGCCGAAAAUGCAAGUCUUAGGACACGACUUGAUGGAGCCAAUAGUGAAUUGAGUCAUGGCAGAAAUACAGGAACAGGAAAUGCUGCUGAUGCUGAGGGCAGUAAGAGGAGAAGAAUUUAGCCUUUUCAACAUUUACUUGCUGUAUAGUAUCUUUCUGAGGGCAGUAAAAGAAUGUAGUCCUUUUCAACAUUUUACUUGCUGUAUAGUUCAUUGAGGGCAGUAAAAGAAUGUAGUCCUUUUCAACAUUUUACUUGCUGAAUAGUUCAUUUCUGAGGGCAUUUUACUUGCUGUAUAGUUCAUCAGUAAAAGAAUGUAGUCCUUUUCAACAUUUUGCUUACUUGCUGUAUAGUUCAUAUUUCUGAUAGGGUUAAGUGUGAAUGUAUUUUUUUGUUACGGGUAAAUAGAACUCGGCAUACGAUUUUGUGCACAUUUAGAAAUUCUUUUAUAUAAUUGAUUUCAUUUAGAAUAGUAAUAAUGGCAUUAUGUACCAUCUUAUUUGUUUUUGCAGGAACAAAUUUUAGAGGAAGUAGACCCAGUUUUUAAAUUGGUUUGGUCAGUACCUGUUCCCUCCAAUGUCAUAGCAUUUUCUUGGAGGAUGUUGAAAGACAGAAUCCAGACGAGGAAUAAUCUCCAUAGGCGCCGGGUGAUCACAAAUGAGGAUGGUGCGUUAUGCCCCCCUGUGUGGAUUGGAAGAGGAGUCUACAUCACAUCUGUUCUACUUAUGUCAGGCCACAAAUUCAAUAUGGUAUGCAUGUUCUAAUUGGUUGGGUGUUCCCUCAUCUCUGUUGCCUUCCCCACGGGAACAUUUACUUCAAUUUUCCUCCAUUGGUACCAAUAAAGCACAGAGGGUGGGAGAAUAUGUUAUUUGGAUGUCAAUUGUGUGGACUAUAUGGUUACUACGGAAUAAAACUGUCUUCAAUGGGGAAGAAUUUGACAGGAAUCAAGCACUAGAGCUGGCACAAUUUAAGGCUUGGCAGUGGCUACGUACAAAAACGGAUGGAUUCACAUACUCUUGGUUCGAAUGGUUGAGGAACCCAAGUUACUGCAUUUAAGCAUUAUGAGGGGUUGGGUAUGUGUUACUGUAGAGUAACAAGGAGUGAUAUAGUUGGAGGUUUAGCAUGUCUUUCCCAUCCCGGUUUGACAUAGAAUUCUUAUUUGCUUCAUGUAUUUUCUAUUCUCUUUAUUUCUUGAUGGUUCUAGUAAUUUCUAGUCCAUUGUUCAUUGUAUUUGGGUUAGCACCCCUUGUGCUAAAUUGAAUGCAAUAUUUUGGCUUAUCAAAAAAAAAAAACUGGCAUUAUGUACCAAACAAAACAAAAAAGUAAUACUGGCAUUAGAGCAACUGCAGCAGAGUCCCAUUGGAGCU